CCUUUAACCUCAUUUCCUGAUCGUACAGCCUCACCUGCGGUGCUGUCAGAGCCAAUAGGGCAGGCAGGAAUGCAGCAGACAAGACUCGUCAUCACAGCCUUGGCUGUCUGUGUGGCCCUACGCACCUCAGAAGCCAUACUUCCCAUUGCCUCCAGCUGUUGCACCGAGGUUUCACAUCAUAUUUCCCGAAGACUUCUGGAAAGAGUGAAUACAUGUCGCAUCCAGAGAGUUGAUGGGGAUUGUGACUUGGCUGCUGUCAUUCUUCAUAUCAAGCGCAGAAGAAUCUGUGUCAGCCCGCAUAACCAUACUGUUAAGCAGUGGAUGAAAGCACAAGCUGCCAAGAAAAAUGGUAAAGGCAACAUUUGCCACAAGAAGAAACACCACGGCAAAAGGAACAGUAAAAGGGAACAUCAGGGGAAACAUGAGACAUAUGGCUAUAAAACACCUUAUUAGAGAGUUUACAAAUGAAUCUACAAAGAGAAUUCCUCAAGUGAACUUGGCCAUGGUUAGUUAUAAAUUUAUCACCUGAAUUUUCCUUAUUAGCAGGCUAUGGGGCAAAACAAAAUAUUAGUUUUUUAAAAAUAAACAAUUGUACAGCAUGCAAAUAUAGUCAAUCAUAAAAUUAACUAAAAAUGAAAUGAAAAGAUUAUAAAGGCUGGGUGUGGUGGCACACACCUGUAGUCCCAGCA